rnacentral:rRNA from 1 species
UAACCUGGUUGAUCCUGCCAGUUAGUCAUAUGCUUGUCUUAAAGAUUAAGCCAUGCAUGUCUAAGUAUAAGCUUGUAUACGGUGAGACUGCGAAUGGCUCAUUAAAACAGUUAUAGUUUCUUUGCUGAACGUGUAUAUGGAUAACCGUAGCAAUUCUAGAGCUAAUACAUGCUGGUUGCAUCGCUCUGCGGUG